rnacentral:rRNA from 1 species
CGAAGGGGGCUAGCGUUGUUCGGAAUUACUGGGCGUAAAGCGCACGUAGGCGGAUCGAUCAGUCAGGGGUGAAAUCCCAGGGCUCAACCCUGGAACUGCCUUUGAUACUGUCGAUCUGGAGUAUGGAAGAGGUGAGUGGAAUUCCGAGUGUAGAGGUGAAAUUCGUAGAUAUUCGGAGGAACACCAGUGGCGAAGGCGGCUCACUGGUCCAUUACUGACGCUGAGGUGCGAAAGCGUGGGGAGCAAACAGG